CCCUUAGACGUUCUGGGCCGCACGCGCGCUACACUGACCAGUGCAACAAGCAUCCGUCCUUGGCCGACAGGCUCGGGCAAUCUUUGAACGCUGGUCGUGAUGGGGAUAGACUUUUGCAAUUUUUGGUCUUCAACGAGGAAUUCCUAGUAAACGCAAGUCAUCAACUUGCAUUGAUCACGUCCCUGCCCUUUGUACACACCGCCCGUCGCACCUACCGAUUGAAUGGUCCGGUGAAGCCUCCGGAUUGGCGCGCACCUCGGUGCCGCCGAGAAGUUGGCUAAACCUUACCAUUUAGAGGAAGGUGAAGUCGUAACA
rnacentral:rRNA from 1 species